rnacentral:rRNA from 1 species
GGUUAGAUCGCUCUGGCCCGCACCUUUCCGGGUGUGUGUGCUGGCACGUUCUUUCCAUCCUUCUAGAGUGCCGUGCCUACUCUUUACUGAGCCGGGUACGCGUUCUAGAUCGUUUACUUUGAAAAAAUUAGAGUGUUUAAAGCAGGCUUACGCUGUGAAUACAUUAGCAUGGAAUAAUGAUAUAGGACUUCGGUUCUAUUUUGUUGGUUUCUUGAGCUGAAGUA